ensembl:lncRNA
GGGAGGAAGCCGUUGCCGCGGCGACGCGCGGCUCGGGCGGGCGCUGUGCGGUGGCAGUGACGCACGGCUCUGCGCGCGCCCUGGAGACGCGUGAACGCGCGAGCGUCCUCCGGCCGGCCCCUUCCUCGUCGUCCUCGUCGUCCUCGUCGUCCUCGCAAAUGCGGACUCAGAGCAAAGCAGCUCCCUUUGGCACGGGGAGGAGCGCCGCUAACUCGACCACGCUCGCUCCCGUGAGGCGGCUCGCUUGCCGGCGAUCUCCGACGGACGGCUCGCUAGGAGAAAUGAGAAAAUGGAACCGAGGGAGCUUGUGAAAGAGGAGAUCCUUGAGACAAAGCGCAGUGCCAGCCAGAAGCUCAGCCUCGGAUACCUGCACGUGGCCGUCAGACAGAAGAUGGGCAUGAAGACGAGAGCAGAGACAGACCCUACAUUGCACCAAGGCCACGUCAGCUAUGCAGGAGACAGUGGACCUGCAAAUGCAACAAGAAACAGGAAGCUCUUCUUUAACGUCCGUUGUUGCCUUCGUCCUCCCAGCGGCUUCUCCUGCAAGAAGAUGUGGAUGAAGAUCAAGUGAGCACCAGGCUGCCGCCAUAUGUGCAGGAACACCUGCAGAAUAAAAAGUCCUGUUCACCAGAGAUGUACCGCUCCUCUUUGCACCCCGGGAAGCAGGCUGGAGGGGAUUGGGCUCUGGGUGUUGCACCCCACCUGAGGGAGAAUGUACGCACUUCCAGAGGGCAGCCCCCAGCCAAGCAGCACCACCCUGGGAAGCCUCAGCUUCAGCCAAGAGCUGGGGGACAAACAGGGGCUCAAGUGCUGAGCAGAGCCUAGGGAACAGAGAACUGGCUUGGGAGCACUGGGGGGUUCCACCACCUGCCAGGAAGCACCCACACUGCGCUUACCAGAACAGAGAGCUUCACGCUGUUGGGCAGCUUCUGGCAUUUCUUGCUCACAACCUCCAGCAGAAGCCAGCUGCAUCACUGCACCUUCCCUGCCGGUGGAGGAGGGCAGGCAAGGUGCAGCUGCCCCCAGGAUGCCGUGUCCCCAGGCACCCCCUACCCCCACGGGAGCAGGGAGGUGCCCCACAGCAGGAAGCAGCACCAGGACCCCAAGUCCUGUUAGGAAGGAAGUGCUGCUGCACCAACAGCCCUGCACCACUGCUCCCCAUACCUCUCUGUUCCCAUUGCAGCCGCUCCGUCCUCCUGGAGAGCAGUGGGCAAGAGUCUUCAGUGCUGCAAGACCAGAACAAAGCUGCAGGGUGGGGGCCCAACCCCCGGGGGAGGGGGGGGUGGUUAGGAACCUGGCACCCGGCACCCCAUCACCCCGCACACAGGAGGAGGGGUGCCGGGAGUGCUUUUGUCCUCUACCUAGCACCCAGCCUCAGCCACAAACGCUGGAGACGCAAGGACAGGGCUCACAUCCUGCAGAGCUGGGAACAGCUUUGCUGCGCUCCAGUCCUCACUGCAGCCCCAGAGCUGCAGGAAGAAGAACUCUGUGAGCCACCUGCAGAGGGAUGCUGGGCUGGCAGCCCCUGCAGCAAGGUGCUUAGGAUUUGACCUCUGAGUGGAGAUUUCCUUACAAGCACUAUCACCUUAGAGGUCACCUCAUAUAGCAUCUUCCGGGUGAAGAAGGAUGCUGUGGAAAACCUCCAAGGCCCUUUCUAGGUGAAUGGUGUCAUCUGGUCUCUUCCCAAGGAGAUUUCCUUACAAGCACUAUCACCUUAGAGGUCACCUCAUAUAGCAUCUUCCGGGUGAAGAAGGAUGCUGUGGAAGACCUCCAAGGCCCUUUCUAGGUGAAUGGUGUCAUCUGGUCUCUUCCCAAGGAGGUCUCUCUGAUACAUUUCUGACACACAGUGUCUCUGAUAGAUCUCUGCUCUGCUACAUUCUUUCCAAGAAGAGUGGAGUGGAGUGGAGUGGAGUGGAGGAAGGGAAGGGAAGGGAAGGGAAGGGAAGGGAAGGGAAAAUAGUUGGGAGGGACCUACAGGGCUAACAAAAGUGAAAGUAUAUUAUUAAGAGCGUUGACAAGCUUGGACAUGGACAGACACCAGGCACCAGCCACCUUGCUAGGAAGCCUCUUCCAGUGUUCGAAAACGCUCACGUUCAAGAAAGUUUUCUGUGGUGGUACACCGGUAGGAAAUCUCUAUCCACGAAGCUGUGCAAGCAGUGCUCCAUGGCCAGAGCCAGGAUACCUGUGCACAGCGUUACCCAACAUGUCCUCUGCAGCGACAUCACUCGUUUCAGUCCACGAAGCGUAUCGUGUUGCACUGUCACUUAGAACUUCCGUCAAAGGUGCAAAGAAGCAUUUCUUUUUUUUGCACAAGUCUUCCUAGUCCCCAAGAGUUCUACCAUCUAAUACUGAGAACGCAAUCUGCCUUUGUGAGCCUUCAGUACAGUUGAGCCUGGUUUGGAGCUCUCUCUUUUGCCAAAGUGAUGCUGUAGCACUUUCAGCUCAGAUGAAUUACAAAG